GAGAAGAACGCAGCGAAAUGCGAUAAGUAGUGUGAAUUGCAGAAUUCAGUGAAUCAUCGAAUCUUUGAACGCACAUUGCGCCCCUUGGUAUUCCAUGGGGCAUGCCUGUUCGAGCGUCAUUUGUACCUUCAAGCUUUGCUUGGUGUUGGGUGUUUGUCCUGAGGGACUCGCCUUAAAGUAAUUGGCAGCCAGUGUUUGGUUUUGAAGCGCAGCACAAGUCGCGAUUCAAAGCUAUACGCCCGCUUCCACAAGCCUUUUUCACUUUUGACCUCGGAUCAGGUAGGGAUACCCGCUGAACUUAAGCAUAUCAAUAAGCGGAGGA
rnacentral:misc_RNA from 1 species